rnacentral:miRNA from 1 species
AAGGUUGUUCCAACAAGUCCGAUACAGUCAUGAUAGAACAAUAUUGUUACAACCUUGUGUCGUCAACCUUGUAACAUUCUUGUUAUAUCAUGACUGUAUCAGACUUGUUGGAACAAUUUU